ACGGAAGGCAGCAGUGAGGAAUAUUGGUCAAUGGGCGGAAGCCUGAACCAGCCAAGUCGCGUGAAGGAUGAAGGUGUUCUGCAUUGUAAACUUCUUUUAUGCGGGAAUAAAGUGCGCCACGCGUGGCGUAUUGCAUGUACCGCAGGAAUAAGCAUCGGCUAACUCCGUGCCAGCAGCCGCGGUAAUACGGAGGAUGCGAGCGUUAUCCGGAUUUAUUGGGUUUAAAGGGUGCGUAGGCGGGCUGGUAAGUCAGCGGUGAAAGUUCGCGGCUCAACCGUGAAAUUGCCGUUGAUACUGUCAGCCUUGAGUGCAGAGGAGGUAGGCGGAAUUCGUCGUGUAGCGGUGAAAUGCGUAGAUAUGACGAAGAACACCGAUUGCGUAGGCAGCUUACCAUAGUGCAACUGACGCUGAGGCACGAAAGUGCGGGUAUCAAACAGGAUUAGAUACCCUGGUA
rnacentral:rRNA from 1 species